UAGGGAAUCUUCCACAAUGGACGCAAGUCUGAUGGAGCAACGCCGCGUGAGUGAGGAAGGGCUUCGGCUCGUAAAGCUCUGUUGUUAAAGAAGAACGUGGGUAAGAGUAACUGUUUACCCAGUGACGGUAUUUAACCAGAAAGCCACGGCUAACUACGUGCUAG
rnacentral:rRNA from 1 species